GCUCCCGCCAGGAGGCCCGUGGCCGCCGGGGACCAGGCUGGCGCGAGGGUCACCGGAGAGCGGUGACCGCCUGCUGGGACGGGUUCUCCCCGGGAUCGCAGCGGUGCUUGCCUCCCCAGCGUCCCCCCCUUCCGCGUCCCGGCCGCCCGGGCCUCUGUCCCCGCCCCGCUCCUGCCCCUGGCCGCUCUGGCCGGAUCACACGUGCGCUCGGUGCCCCCCGCACCCCGGCCCCUGGCGGCGGGGGGUCGCUCUGCCUCCUGCAGGGACUCCCACCUGCCUCCCGUGUCGCGGGCCUGCCAUUCCCAGAGGGAUCCCAGCCCCUCCCCCCGGCCCGGGAGCCCCUCCCCUUUCUGUGAAGGGUGAACUCUUCCUCAAGGAGAAACCUUUUUCUGUAGUUUUACCUCUUCCAGAAGUUGCGGGUGAACACGAAACCAUCAUCACGCCGAAGAUUAUAGUGGCUCCCGACCGACGCCAUUUAGCGGCCGCGUCUCCCGGGUGGCGUCGGACGGUUCCCGGGUUGGUGGCUGGGAGUCGGCGACUCCAGGAGGCGCGGCCCUUUCCCCGUGAGGGCUCCGUCGCCCCGGCCGCGGUUCCCCGCGGUUCUGUGCUGUCCCGUGGCCCUCCCCCGUCUGGGGGUGUCCCGCGGGGGCCCUUCACGGGGGGCGGGAUGUGGGCACUGAGGUCCGCUGGGGCCCGGGGCUGGUGCUCGGCCCCGCGGCCCCUUCUCACAGGGAGGAGCAGCUCCCCCAGACGUGUGCUGCCCCGUGGCCGUGGCCGGGGCACGUGGGAACCGCAGGCGACUGCCGGGUCUCUAUCCGUUUUCACAAGAGGAUGUUGCUUCCUCGGAAAAUGACCAGGAAUUUUUUUUUUUUAAGAUUUUACGUAUUUAUUCAUGAGAGACACAGAGAGCUUGCCCUCGAGGCCCGACCCCCGUGCCCCGAAACCCCCGCCUGGUGACCCUGUGCCCCCCCGCCCCCCGCCCGGCACCCGGCGAGCCCGCGGUGCUCUCGUGUGCUCCCCGCCUCGUGCCAGUCGCACAGACGCCCGUGUCCUCGUCCCAGGGGCCCGGGAGCGGGGGAGAGGGACGAGCCGCGGGAGGCGGGAAGGAAGGCAGGCGCCCCUGGGGGCCGGAGAGGCGGGGGCGGACCCCUGGAGCUCCCCGGGGCCCCCGGAGGAGCCGUCCUGCCCACACCGUGGCGGUAGCCCCGCGGGACCUCCAGAAUCCAGGCGAUCAGCUUGCGCUGUUGAGGCUGCGAGAGCCGCUUGCUGGACUCGCUGGAGCGAGGGCUCAGAUUGGACGCCAGACCUCCUGUCCUUGCCCUGAGCUGAGAAUCAGAGCCUGUCAGUCGGAUGUCACAAUAAUUAGGACACCGAGCCUGAGGUCUUCCAAGCCAGUAACUUGCAUCGCCAACGGACAGGAAGCACUCGCUCAGUUUUUAACUGUGUAGCAGCCCCGCGGGACCGACUGGGCAAGUCCUGUCAUCACGACAGGCCCAGGAGCACCUGCCGCUGUGACAUCCAUGAUGACUUGGGGCUGUAACGCGUCAGGAUUUUUUUAAAAGGACAACAUUUAAAAAUGCUUCAGAGUCACAGAGCCACCGCCUUGCCGAGAUGCUCCUUCUCUACUCCAAGCUCGUUUGCGUGCUCCUGGCAGGACAGAUCACUGCAAGGGCUCUCCCAAUAAGAAACUGUCCUUCCAGGAGUGAAGAACCCCCCCUUGGGCGUUCUGUGAUUUGCUCAGAUGUGGUUCGAAUCAAUGAUUCUAUGUUCAGACAUAGGAGAGCCUUUUCCUUUCUAAUGUGACCUGAAGUACUCCCACAUUGUUUAGGGAAACAUGCCUGAGCAGGUGGGUGGCGAUGAGGCACGUUCAGCCGUUCCCCGCUCACCCCUCCACGAACCCUGCUACGGGCCAUGCGGCGUCCAUACCGUGCCAUCCUGCCACGGUCCCAGGGGAGGGGUCUCCCUAUUUUAGACCCAAGGGACUUCAGGAGACCAAGGCCGACGGAGUUUGGUGACUUGCUCGAUUCAAACAGCAAGGGGAAGAACCAGGGCUUGAACCCCUCUCAGUCUGACUGGAAAGCUGUGCCCUUCACAAUCCCACUGCACUGUCUUCUCAGCAAAGUACACCCGGAGCUGGGGAGCACCCAGAGCACCUGCACCAUGGGGGAGGCCGGGAGCACCUGGGGCACCUGCACCAUGGGAAGGGUUGGGAGCACCUGGAGCACCUGCACCAUGGGGAGGAACACUGAGGAGCCCGUACCGAAUCUGCACCAAAGUUUCAGAGGAGGAGCUGGAUACGAGUCAGUUGGCAGACAUGCAUGUUCCAAGUUUCUCUAAGUGUUGUGCAGUGAGGUGCCAGCAGGUGAAGUGAGGGGGUGUUUUGUGCCCAAUGGAGUGUGGGGUGGGGGCUUCUGUUGACAUGAGUCAGGGUGGGCAGCUUGGAGGGGCUGGGUGAGGGAAAGCUGAGACAGAGCACAAGAGAGGUGUCCAGCCUGGAGGGGGGCAGGUGGCCCGGGGUGGGGUGUGGGUGCAGCCUGAGAGCCUGGGCAUUGGGCAGAAGAGGGAGGAGAAGACGGCCAGGGUCAUGCAGGACCCUGAGGCUCAGCUUGAGAAAUCCGGGUGUUAACCACUGGAGAGUUUAGUGGUGGCUGGGACUGUGUGGUCAUGUGUGUGUCCCCAGACCCCGCAGGGCAGCUGGCACUUAGUGGGCACUGUGUGAGCAGACAGCCACUGCCACCCAGAGCAUCAGCCGGCACUGAACUUCAGCUGAGCCAGGCCCCAGGGGACUGCCGAAGACACAGCCCUCGGCUAAGAGGGACUGGGAGACAUGUGCACACCUGUGUGUGUGAGCACGUGUGUGCACAGGUGUAGGGUAUGUGUGCUUGUGCACAUGUGAGAGUGUGCAUGCCUGUGUGUACAUGUGCCGGUGUGUGUGCAUGGAUGCGUGCACAUCAGUCUGUGCAUGUGUGCAAGUAUCUGUGUGUGCGCAUCUGUAGAUGAGUAUAUGUGGGGUGUGCAUGUGUGUGAGGGACAUGAGAGUGCGUGUAUGGGUGUGUAUGUAUGUGUCCAUGUGCAGAUGACUGGGGGCGUGAAUGUGUACGUGUGUACAUGUGCAUAUGUGUGCAUGUGCGUGGGGGGACAUAUGCGUGUGCGUGAGUGGGUGUGUACGUAGGGGUGUGCACGAGCGUGUAUGCGUGCACGCCUGUGUGGCAGAGGGCGAGGGCCGCGCUGGGGGUGAGGUCAGGGGCAGCGCACGGGGAGCAGGAGCUUCGCCGGGAGUCCUGCACUGACUCACCUGACAGGUGGUGAAUCGGGCGAGUCCCAUCUUGGCCGGACCGGGGGGCACGUGUGAGCCCGCACGGCGGGUCGCGGGGAGCCUUGUUCGGGUUUCGGGAGGGAGCCCAGGAGUGGGGAGCCCCUGCAGAAACUGCCACAGGCAUAGCUCUCUGGGAAACCCCGGCUUCGAAGAAACCACCUCGAAUUAUGUGUCACAGUGAAGACCCUUGAAGCGCCUCGCACGGACGGACGAACGAGGCCCGGCGCGGCCAACGCGAUGAGGUGGUGCGGCUGCCACCGUGGCAGGAACGCGGCCACGUCACAGCACAGGCAAACCCACGUGGAACCGAUGCCGCCUCGCAGACGUCCGGCCGCGGGACGAGACCCAGAAGAGCUCACUCGGAAAAAUGUAAAUAUUUUCACGUUCCGUCCAUUCCCCUCUUGUUUGCACUCC
rnacentral:lncRNA from 1 species